CCGCAUUUUUUUUUAUCUUGAUGAAAUGUUUAAGUUUGCUCGAUUAUUGACUAUUGUGUGCAUUAAUCAUUGUUUGUUCAGCACUAGAAUAAGGUAUUGAUGAUCAUUCCUUUUAGCUUUUGAAUUGAUUCUACAGCAAGUAGUAGUUCAUAAGGACUAAGUUAGAAUUUUGAAUUAUUUUCAAUUGAUAAACGAUGGUGCAUAUUUUCAAUAGAAUGGAUCAGUUGCUUUGGGUUGAGAGUGUGAAUUGGGCUAAGAAUCAGGCCCAAAUGCAGGCCCAAUCUGAGUUUGGUUUAAAAUCUGACAGAAAGAGUAAAAAUGAAGAUUUAGAAAGGGCAUUGAGGGGUUAUGACUUGAGGAAUCUUUUCUGUUACAACUAAAAAGAAGUUUUUAUAAGAAAGAAAAGGGCUGGUAUCUGCAAAAGAAAAUAGAAACAGCUUAGAUUUUGGGGCCUAGGAGUCAAAUAAAAAAAGUUUGAAGGGUAAAAGUGAAUUAGAAAAUCAGGUUUUUGUUACCCUAAAAUCUUCUAUAAAAGGAUCCUUUUCUCAUUCAUUAGGGGGAUCUUAGACAUAAAAAAAGUCACGGCUGCUAGAAAUUCAGGUUUUUCUUUGAAAUUUGAGUUUAACAGCUGUUAAAAACACUCCAAAAUCAGAGUAAGAUAUAGUCAAAAGGGAAAGAUUGAAAGCUGUUUCUAAUCUCUUUGGAUUCUUGCAUCAUUUCUGGGUUCAAAGUUUGGUUUGGUUUGAAGAAAUUGCUGGUUUUAUUGUUGCUAUUGUUUAUCUGGAAUUCAAACUAUCAUCCUGAUUUCUGUUGUCGCUCUGUUUUGAGUUGUGUCGUUGGCUAUAAUCCUUGGUUUUUACUUGGCAAAAAUUCAGCUUCAUUUACAAGUUUAGUUCCUUAUUAAUGAUGUUUGCAAGGCUUGAACAUUUGUUGGAGGAUCGACAGUACAAUUAAUGUGAUUACGUAAUCCCUUCAAGACUGAAUCUGAUGAGAAGCAUGUACAGUUAAUAAGAACAUAUGAAGUUUGGAUAGCUAUAGGUCAUUUGUUUUAAGAUCAUUUGGAAUCAAAAGCAUGUGAAUCUAUUAUUUAUUCUAGAUUUUAGUAACAUUGAAUGUAAUCGUAACCGGUAUUGUAAUCUGUUAGAAAAUUAUAGGUGUGGCAUGUUGCUUCUUCAAUUCUGAUCUGUAAUAUGUCAAAUAGUUUAACAUGGUCAAUGUUAAAAGCAAUAUAAUUUUAGUCU